rnacentral:lncRNA from 1 species
AAAGCAAAUCCACUUUUGAUCAAACCAGAAGUUGGGACUUGGUGCCUCGUUGCAUUGGGGUAGUGGAGGAAGGAGCGGGGGUCUUCGGUAUCUGCUAUGCUGGGUGUUAGAUUUGGCUGAGAGUAAAAGGUGCCAUUCAGCAAAAUGUAGAAACAAAGGAGGGAAAGGAGGUUUUGAGAGAAGACGAUGUGUAUGAGACUUUCUAGGAGUGCGGCGACCUGAAUGCUCAAACACUUCCCCACUAAAACAUUGUAAUCUGGAUAAAACAUUUUUCAUGCACGUCUGGGGGUCACAAGAACUAAAAUCGCAGCUAACCACCAAUUGGUAAAGUAAAAUCCAAGCUGGGGGCUUUCUGUGUAAAGAUGGGUUGCCUCAAGAGUAAAUGCUGAUGUCACCAACGCAGUUGGAGACUAAGCCUUGGGUGCGUGGCAGUAUUAGAAGAGCCUGCAUUCCAUUAGGAUCUGUGCAAGAAGAUGGAGUGACCCAGGUUUUGGCAGAAGCAAAUGCAGAUACUUUCUGGAAGAAGGCAUUCAUGCCUAUGUUAGACCUUAGAAUUCUCCAGACUAAGAUGAGCCAAAUGAGAGUUCAGAAAUCAAAGAUUUCUAACCCUACUAGAAAACAAGCCACAAGGAAUGAGAGUCACCAGAAAUAAAUGAGCAAGAAAUUUAGGGAGUCCCCCCCCCAAAAAAAAAAUAAACUUAGGGAGUUCCCGUUGUGGCUUAGCAUAUUAAGAAUUCUGCUAGUAACCAUGAGGAUGCAGGUUGGAUCCUUGGCCUCACUCAGUGGAUUAAAGUACCUGGCAUUGCUAGGAACUGCGGUGUAGGAUCCAAGCAGACAUGGCUUGGAUCUGGUGUUGCUGUGGCUAUGGUGUAGGCUGGCAGCUGCAGCUCUAAUUCGACACCUAGCCCAGGAACCUCCACAUGCUGUGGGUUUGGCCCUUAAGAAAAAAGAAAAAAAUGAAACAACAAUAGAUUUAGAACCCUGAGGACUUUAGAUAUUAAAAUUACCUGAUACAGAUGUAAAGUAACCAUAUUUGAAAUACUUUAAGAAAUAAAAUAUAUAAUCAUGAAUAAGUACAAAGAGCAUAGAAUAAAAAUUGACCAGGCAUGGGGAAGGGAUGAGGGGAUAAAUUGGGAGUAUGGGAUUAACUGAUGUACCCUACUGUAUAUAAAAUAGAUAAACAACGAGGAUUUAUUAUAUAGCAUAGGGGACUAUAUUCAGUAUCUUGUAAUAAACUAUAAUGAAAAAGAAUCAGGAAAAAAAUAAUAUAGAUAAAUACAUUUGUAUAUGUAUAACUGAAUCCCUUUGCUGUAUACUUGAAACUAACACACUGUUGUAAAUCAACUAUACUUCAGUUAAAAUAUUGACCAGGCAUAUUAUUCAGCCAUAAAAAAGAAGGAAGUUCUGCCAUUUGUGACAACACGGAUGGACCUUAAAGGCAUUAUGCUAAAGUGAAAUAAGUCAGAUAGAGAAAGACAUCACUGUAUGAUCUCACUUAUCUGUGGAAUCUAAGAAGGAAAACCAAACUCAUAGAAACAGAAUAGAUUAGUUGUUGCCAGAGGUGGGGGAUGGGGAAACAUGUGAAGGUGGUCAAGAUACAAACUUGCAGUUACAAGAAAAGUAAGUUCUAGGUGGAUAAUGUACAGCAUGGUCCCUAUAUAUAUACACGUAUGUGUGUAUAUAUGUGUGUGUAUAUAUAUAUAUAUAUAUAUAUUUAGGGCCACACCUGAGGCAUGUGGAAGUUCCCAGGCUAGGAGUCAAAUCAAAGCUAUUCCUGCCAGCCUCUGUAGUUGUGUCACAGACGUGGCUCGGAUCCCCUGUUGCUGUGGCUCUGGUGUAGAUGGGUGGCUACAGCGCCGAUUAGACCCCUAGCUUCAGAACUCCAUAUGCCGAGGGAGGGGCCCUAGAAAAGGUAAAAAGCCAAAAAAAAAAAAAAAAAAAAAAA